rnacentral:tRNA from 1 species
GUUCUUUUAGUAUUAACUAGUACAGCUGACUUCCAAUCAGUUAGUCUUGGAGAACCCCAAGAAAGAAUA